rfam:Trichobilharzia regenti genome assembly, scaffold: TRE_scaffold0111292
AUCCAGCUGAAGAGUCCCAAAUAGGACGAAAUACGCCUCCUGGAU